rnacentral:rRNA from 1 species
UACGUAGGGGGCAAGCGUUGUCCGGAAUCAUUGGGCGUAAAGAGCGCGUAGGCGGUCCGGUAAGUCAGCUGUGAAAGUCAAGGGCUCAACCCUUGAAAGCCGGUUGAUACUGUCGGGCUAGAGUCCGGAAGAGGCGAGUGGAAUUCCCGGUGUAGCGGUGAAAUGCGCAGAUAUUGGGAAGAACACCCGUGGCGAAGGCGGCUCUCUGGCCCGGUACUGACGCUGAGGUGCGAAAGCGUGGGGAGCAAACAGG